rnacentral:rRNA from 1 species
UACGUAGGGUGCGAGCGUUGUCCGGAAUUAUUGGGCGUAAAGGGCUCGUAGGCGGUCUGUUGCGUCAGGAGUGAAAACUCUGGGCUUAACUCAGAGCCUGCAUUCAAAACUGAUGGGCUGGAGUUCUGGAGGGGAUAGCGGAAUUCCUGGUGUAGCGGUGAAAUGCGUAGAUAUCAGGAGGAACACCGGUGGCGAAGGCGGCUAUCUGGACAGAAACUGACGCUGAGGCGCGAAAGCUAGGGGAGCAAACAGG